GAUGAACGCUGGCGGUGUGCCUAACACAUGCAAGUCGAGCGAACAGACGAUGAGCUCGUUCUCUUGACGUUAGCGGCUGACGGGUGAGUAACACGUGGAUAACCUACCUAUAUGACGGGGAGAAUUUCGUGAAACAGCUGCUAAUACUGCAUCAUACGUCGUACCGCUUGAUUCAGUAGUUCUUGACGGCUUUGCCGUCACAAAUAGCCGGAUCCGCGCCGCAUUAGCUAGUUGGUAAGGUAACGGCUUACCAAGGCGACGAUGCGUAGCUGACCUGAGAGGGUGAUCAGCCACACUGGAACUGAGACACGGUCCAGACUCCUACGGGAGGCAGCAGUAGGGAAUCUUCGACAAUGGGCGCAAGCCUGACCGAGCAACGCCGCGUGAGUGAUGAAGGUCUUCGGAUCGUAAAGCUCUGUUGUUAGGAAAGAACAGCUGUAUAUGUAUCUAUGGACGUCUUGACGGUACCUAAUCAAUAAGCCACGGCUAACUACGUG
rnacentral:rRNA from 1 species